GGCAGUGUGGUGUAGUGGUUUGAGCACUGGACUAGGAAUCUGGAGGCCACAGUUCAAAUCCCGGUUUUGUCA